rnacentral:lncRNA from 1 species
GUUUAAGUUUGGUCCACAUUAGGGGCAACCAGGGAGGAAAGGGGAGAAAGGCGACUCACUAGAGCUGAGUGUCUUCAUGGAACGCUUCAGGGUAAGGACGAGUGAAGAGCAAAAGCAGGUGUCUGUAAAUCUUAUGCAAAAUAUCCUUAAUUUAUUAUUGUCACAUCCUUAGGGAGAUCCUGGCAUACCAGGAAUCAAUGGGAUUUUGUAAGAGACACUGCAAUAUCAGUCUUAAUAUUGAAAUAUAACCUGGGGUGCAUUUACACGACAUGGUCUUUGUAUUUAGGGGCCUGUGGGAAAUCCAGGUUGGCCUGGAAACAAAGGCUUUAGGGGACCAAAGGUAAUUGUAUAGACUUUACAUGUUAUUUUUACUUGAAGUAAAUUCUGGCCACUCAAUCUGUACCUGUGUCAUAGGGGCAUCCAGGCCCUCCAGGACCCCGCGGACCAAAGGGCGUUAUGACCAAAGUCUUCAAAGGAGUCAGAGGAGAGCCAGGGGAGACAGGACCUCCAGGGAAUCCAGGAAACUCUACUCAUCAGCAGACCCAGCCUGA